UGCCAUCACCAAAGAGUGAGCCAAAAUCCUCAGGUUAUGAUCAUGAGGCUGUUUACUCCAACAUGGAAGAUCUCAACAUAUAUGGAAAUAUCUGAUGAUAAUGAACAACACAAAGUGUGUGUGUGUGUGUGUGUGUGUUUUAAAAUGCUUAAAAUAAAUAUUAAAUCAGAUUGUAUGCUUUCAAAUGUAAUCACUCUUUUUUUAGUCUGUAACUGGUAUUGACUGAUUUUAUUAAUGUUGUUUGUGUCUUUUC